AGCGAAUCUCAAAAAGACCGUCCCAGUUCGGAUUGCAGGCUGCAACCCGCCUGCAUGAAGUUGGAAUCGCUAGUAAUCGCGGAUCAGCAUGCCGCGGUGAAUACGUUCCCGGGCCUUGUACACACCGCCCGUCACACCAUGAGAGUCGGGAACACCCGAAGUCCGUAGCCUAACCGCAAGGGGGGCGCGGCCGAAGGUGGGUUCGAUAAUUGGGGUGAAGUCGUAACAAGGUACC
rnacentral:rRNA from 1 species